rnacentral:lncRNA from 1 species
CGGGGAGGAAGAACCCUAACCCUAGCCAUGCCCAUCUGUGUUACGCUCUCUCCCUUUCUCCAAAGCCCACGAGAGAUCCGAGACAAAGAACCCUAACCGUAGCGAUGGCCUUUUGCCUCCGAGCUCCUCCCUCAUCGCCCUUCUAGUACUUAUCUUCUAGCCGUCCCGCAAUGCAAACGGCCUCUGCCGUCUAGCUUCGAACUUCCUGUUGGGAACUCGGGGAGGCUUCGCCAAAUGGAAUCAAAAAAAUCGAGUAAGCUCAGUCUUCCCCCCAUUUUGUUCCUCUGUUUUUUCCCAAACAAUGUCAUGCAAAAUAUGGUAAUUUUUGAACUAUUUUAGGACCAAUAUAUUCGAUUAAGUAAAGAAGUAAGCGUCACUCGAAUCAAGUAUGUUCUUUGACAUGGAUUCCUGCUUUAGUUGCACUUCUCUUCGGUUUUACUUCUCCAUCUCAUUCUAGAUGAUGAAUUCUUAUGUUGCUGUGAUCUGCAAGGAACUAUUAGUAGACAAUAUGAUAGUAUAUGAUCUUCAUGUUCUCGUGUUCCUCAUUUUCAGAAGUCAAAUUUACAUUAUCAGUAAUCCUAGUUCUAUUUGCAAGAAAUUGAUGGUCAUUAGACAGAUUCAAUCAAGCCAAUAAUUCAAACCUAAUCUAAAAUUUAAAGUAUAGGCCAGACAAAUCUCUAUGCCUUGAUCAUACAGUUAUCAAAGAAAAUAAUCUGGUGGCAAAACCUUGAGUGGAUAGAUUGGUGACCGACAUUGUUAAAAGGAUGAAUCCAUUACACGAGACUACUAUUAAUAUGCCAUUACUUUGUUUUCUAGACUUGAACAAUGGUCUGUUGGUGUUAUGAAGAAUAUGAUUUUGUAGAGAUUGUCUGUUGGUGUUAAUCAGGUUUCAUCUCUCAAGUUCCAAUUGAAUAAUUUGAAUGAUAUGGUUGAUAAAUGUGAAGAUCUCUUUAUGAGCAACCAAACUAUUUUAGAUAGAGACAUGGACCAAUUUUCAUAGGGUUAUAUUGAAGAAAUAAUUCACAGCUACUACUUAGGUAACAUUUUUAGUUUUCAUGAGAAGAAUAUUUCACAUUGUUACUCUAAAAUCGAUAACUUUCUCAGCACUGGAUUUGUAUGAUCAAAAAUUUAAUUAUCUUAUCUUGUUAUAUGACAAACAAUUUAACUUAAUGAUACCUUCAUUCAAAUGUGAGAGUGCUUAAACUGGAUCGGGAAUAGUUUAACCAGUUUCCGAAAAGAUUCAGAUAGAAAAGUAGGUACUUGAUUUAUGUCUGAAUUCAGGCAUAAUUUGUAACCAACCUUUUUAUCAUCGACUCAUUGUCACCAUAAGGUUUAAAUCUAACAUCUGAUUGAUAAUGAAUAAUUGCGGCUAUUCCACCAUAAGUCUAUAAAACUUUCCAUGUUCAUAUAAAACAGGGUGAGGUAAAACUACAAAGCCUGUCCCUCUUACAUGUAUGAACAUAUAUUUGACGUUCUAUAGAACCUUGCUUCACAUCCUUCCAACCUGAAGGCUGUUAAACUCAGGUUUUCUGUUUAUUUCAUUCAUAAAUAUUUCAUUGUUGAUUUCUAUAUUUAUCUGAGUAAAUAAAUUGUUGGAACAACUUGUUGGACUUCAUAUUUCAUAAUUAUUUCUUAUUUCAUAUUCAUAUUCAUAUUUAUCUAUAUUUCAUAAUUAUUUCUGGACUUCUUACAACUUGUUGGAACAACUGAAAAUGUUUCAUACAUGUUGUAUAUGUGCUCUCAUAUCCUACCUGGCAAGAAGAAUCACCAGAUGCUUAUUAGAGGUGAACCAACCAUAUGAUAAAGAAUUUAAUUAUCUUAUCCGUUUAGAUAACAAAUAAUUUAACUUAAUGAUUACCUUCAUUCAAAUGCGAGAGUUCUUCUCGCAAAAGAAAAAAGAAAAAAGUGAGAGUUCUUCUUGGGUAUUUGGGUCUACCCAAAAUCUGCUUAAACAGGGAUCGGGAAUAGGUUAACCAGUUUCCAAAAGGAUUCAGGUACAUAAGUAGGUACUUGAAUUAUGUUUGAAUUCAGGCAUAAUUUGCAACCAACCUUUUUUAUCAUCGACUUAUUGUCACCAUCAGGCUUAAAUCAAACACCUGAUUGCUAAUGAAUAAUUGGAGCUAUUCCACCAUAAGUGUAUAGAACUUUCCAUGUUCAUAUAAAACAGGGUGAAGUAUAACUACAGAGUCUGUUCCUGUUACUUUCUGUAAAUCUUUUGCUUCACAUCCUUACAACUUGAAGACUGUUAAACUCAGGUUUUAAUGUACUCGUAUUAUUCCUGAACUUGUUACAACUUGUUGGUAAUGAGAGAGGAUAACAUCGAGAGAGAAGAUGAUGACGACCAAAGAAAAGAAAGAGACUUGAACGCCAAAGAGAGAGCUGUGCCAAAAGUGGGAGAGUGGAAGACGAUAUAAAAGGGGACGACAACAAGAGGAUGAUGGGGUAACAAAUGAAAGAUUAGUCCAAUCCAAUUAUUGAUAACUAUAAUUCAAAAAUAUUCCUCUAACAUUUCAUGAGGAUAAUUUCAUUGAGUUGCAGUACAUUUAAUGAGUAUUUUUUUUAUAUAUAUUUCAUGCCACAUAAUGCUUGUUUCUAGCUCUUGUCAUCCAAUGACCCAACUUAGCCUAGAUAAUCUUCAAUCUUGGAUAUAAAAUCUAACAAAUCAUAAAACAUAAAUCACAUGUUUUGCCCCAAGAUGAGACCAAGUCAACCUCAACUCUGACAUCUACAUGUCAGAGUUAUCUCCCAGGAGGGGUUUUUUUUUUUUUUUUUUGUUAGUACCUAAAUAACAUUAUCCUAAUCAAAUUGAUCGGACAACCCAUUGCAUGAGCAGGAGUUCCAAACCCUUGUAAAAUUUUGGAGAUGCAGAUGCAUGCACACCCACCUGGGUUUGUGACUGCCAGUUCCUCCUCACAAAUUUUAGCUCUCAGUUUACCAUCACAUGCAGUGGACGCAAGAGACAAAGGAGUAGAAUGGGGCAUUCAUCAUGUCCAUCCACCAACCAAACUG